rnacentral:rRNA from 1 species
AUGCUUCUCGUUGCCACUCGCGAGAGUCAGCUCCUGGCCUGGCGGCGAGUUGGCCAUUUUUCUAUCAGCCGACGCGCGCGACGUCGACCACGCUCCGCCCAGUUGCCUCGCUCGCUUCCUGCAUACAACCUGCAGCUCGCCUCGCUUCAUUCCUUGGAUCACUCGCCACCUCCACGCCCCAGCCUGACGCCUCCUGCCUGCCAUCCUCCUCCCCAUUUCAACGCCUCCUCCUCCUAUUUCUUAACUUGCUCCAGCUGGUCGGAGCGAGCGAGCGAGCGCGGGUGUGCAGAGCGAGCCAUUGACCGAUCCAUCCGUCCGUCGGCCAUGGACGCGGCGUUGGCGGGCGUGGCGGACGCGCCCGGGGCGGCGCCGCCGCCGUACGUCAGCCCGUCGGCGGCGUUCCCCAUCGCGAUCGUCAUCGCCAUCGGCUUCAUGGUCACCUCCGUCAUCCUCGUCAGCUAUUACCUGCUCGUCGUCCGCUGCUGGCUCCGCGCCAGCGGCGCCAGCCUGCUCCCGCGCACGCGCCGCGACGAGCUCGUGGACCGCGUCUCCGCCGUCUUCUUCACCGACCACGACGCCGACCAGCUGCCCGGCGGGGUCGACCCGGACGUCGUCGCCGCGCUCCCCGUCGUCCGGUACUGCCCGGCCGGGAAGGCGCUCGAGUGCGCCGUGUGCCUCUCCGAGUUCGAGCCCGGGGAGCGGCUCAAGAUGCUGCCCGCCUGCUCCCACGCCUUCCACAUCGACUGCAUCGACACCUGGCUCCACCACAACGUCAGCUGCCCGCUCUGCCGGACCGAGGUCACCGGCUCGGCCGCCGCGCCCCCCUCGGGCAAAGCCUGCUGCGACGACCACGACGCGUUCGCCGCCCGCAUCGACGCAGCCCCCUCGAGGAAUAUGGCCUACGCGGGGGGCUCGUGCCGGUUUCCCAAGCAGGGCGUCGCCGUGCAGGGGCCCAUCAGGCGGUCCUUGUCCAUGGACUUCUUGCCGGGCGAUCGCGGACGGAAGCCGCGGAAGGAGGCCGAGCUGCCGAGCCAUGCCGACGUGGCCGGCAGCAGCAGCAGUGCGGCCGCCACCCAAGCCGGCGUCGGCGAGACGAGCGGGCGGUUCCGGCGGCUUAUGUCGUCGUUCGGGCUCGGGCGGAGCUCGCGGAGCACGGUGCUGCCCAUCCACCUCGACCCAUGA